rnacentral:tRNA from 2 species
GGGCCUCUAGCUCAAUUGGUCAGAGCUGCGGACUUUUAAUCCGUAGGUUGUGGGUUCGAGUCCCACGGGGCCUA